rnacentral:rRNA from 1 species
UAAAGAUUCAUCGCUGAUAGAUAGGCAUGCGUUCCAUUAGGCAGUUGGCGGGGUAACGGCCCACCAAACCGACGAUGGAUAGGGGUUCUGAGAGGAAGAUCCCCCACAUUGGUACUGAGACACGGACCAAACUCCUACGGGAGGCAGCAGUGAGGAAUAUUGGUCAAUGGGCGUAAGCCUGAACCAGCCAAGUCGCGUGAGGGAUGAAGGUUCUAUGGAUCGUAAACCUCUUUUAUAAGGGAAUAAAGUGCGGGACGUGUCCCGUUUUGUAUGUACCUUAUGAAUAAGGAUCGGCUAACUCCGUGCCAGCAGCCGCGGUAAUACGGAGGAUCCGAGCGUUAUCCGGAUUUAUUGGGUUUAAAGGGUGCGUAGGCGGCCUUUUAAGUCAGCGGUGAAAGUCUGUGGCUCAACCAUAGAAUUGCCGUUGAAACUGGGAGGCUUGAGUAUGUUUGAGGCAGGCGGAAUGCGUGGUGUAGCGGUGAAAUGCUUAGAUAUCACGCAGAACCCCGAUUGCGAAGGCAGCCUGCCAAGCCAUGACUGACGCUGAUGCACGAAAGCGUGGGGAUCAAACAGGAUUAGAUACCCUGGUAGUCCACGCAGUA